rnacentral:rRNA from 1 species
AGAUGUCAACCCUCUCCAGUAUUCUUGCCUGGAGAAUCCCAUGGACAGAGGAGCCUGGUGGGCUACAGUCCAUGGGGUCACAAAAGAAUCGAGACAUGACUUAACAACUAAAUAAUAACAACCAAGCCGCGAGGUGGAGCUAAUCCCAUAAAACCGAUCGUAGUCCGGAUCGCAGUCUGCAACUCGACUGCGUGAAGUCGGAAUCGCUAGUAAUCGUGAAUCAGAAUGUCACGGUGAAUACGUUCCCGGGCCUUGUACACACCGCCGUCGACGCGGCCG